rnacentral:rRNA from 1 species
ACUCAAAGGAAUUGACGGGGGCCCGCACAAGCGGUGGAGCAUGUGGUUUAAUUCGACGCGACGCGAAGAACCUUACCCAGACUUGACAUGUGCAGGACGCGUGUGGAAACACACGUUCCCUUCGGGGCCUGCGCACAGGUGCUGCAUGGCUGUCGUCAGCUCGUGUCGUGAGAUGUUGGGUUAAGUCCCGCAACGAGCGCAACCCUUGUCCAUAGUUGCUAACGGGUAAAGCCGAGCACUCUAUGGAGACUGCCGGUGGUAAACCGGAGGAAGGUGGGGAUGACGUCAAGUCCUCAUGGCCCUUACGUCUGGGGCUACACACGUGCUACAAUGGCCAGUACAAAGGGUUCCGAGACCGCGAGGUGGAGGCAAUCCCAAAAAACUGGUCUCAGUUCGGAUUGCAGUCUGCAACUCGACUGCAUGAAGUUGGAAUCGCUAGUAAUCGCUGAUCAGCAGGCAGCGGUGAAUACGUUCCCGGGCCUUGUACACACCGCCCGU